AGCACCAUGACACAGUCUUCAGAUGGCCUUUGGCAAAACAAUGAGACUGUAAGCAUAUUCCUCCCUGUUUUAUUAGUCAGGCUCACUUGUCUGUCUUCCUGGAAGCAAACUUGCAUCUAAAGACUAGUUCUGUAAGAGUAGCCAUAGAUUGAAUUUUUUCUCCUUAAAAAAAGUUGGAGAGAAGGAAGAAAAGAAUUGGAAUCUUAAAUAGGAUGCUUUAAGUUGAAUAGUUCAUUGAGGUGUGUCAGUUUGUUAGGUGAUAUUUUACUAAAUAACGUAUAUGCAUGCACGCAUACACACACCACUCAAACUUAGCUGUGGUCAAAAAUUAGGACAAAAAGCAAUGAACUAAUUCAAGGAAAGCAUGUUAAUAUACCAUGAAGGGUUUUAUUUGGGAUGGAAUGGAGCAGAGGCCCUCCCAAACAGAAACACAAAGUAAGCAAGAGUCCUGCCCAAGGACAGACCCACUAAUGUCCUUUUCUCACACAGGGACCAUUCUAUGUGGAAAUUCUUAAGCCUCUGUGAAUUUUUUUUUCUGCACAUAUCUCUUCUCAUAUGAUGACUUAUUAAAGGUAUUAAGGUCUUAAUUUUGAUUCUGUAGGGUAUUCUCAUACUUUUUCUGCAGUGAGCACAAGAAAAAUCAGAGGAGCCCUAGUCUCAUGAUACUUAUCAGGGUUUUUUGUCUUUCCAAAGAAGUUAGACAAACUUAUCAAUCAGGUCUUUUCUUUUGCCUCCUGAAACAGCCUUUGUUUUAGUAUGUGCAAGUAGUUCAGAGGCAACAAAUAGAGUCUGAGGGCAGAGAAUAGUCCUUCUGAUAGUGAAUUGUGAGAAAGGACACACACAGUCAUUGAAAGAGAACUUCCAAAAACUCUGGCAUGGUGGAAUUGUUUAUUGUGGGACCAAAUGAUCUCAUGCUGUAUACCUUAGUGACAAUAAGACUACAUAGCAGCUUGGAAGGCCGAGGCAGGAGGAUUGCAAGUUCAAAGCCAGCCUCAGCAAAAAGCGAGGUGCUAAAACUCAGUGAGACCCUGUCUCUAAAUAAAAUACAAAAUAGAGCUGGGGAUGUGGCUCAGUGGUUGAGUGUCCCUGAGUUCAAUCCCCAGUAUGCCCUGCCAAAAAAAAAAAAAAAAAAAGACUACAUAGGAGUGAUAUUUUAGAAAUUAUCUUACACCACCAGGCCCUGAUUGGUCUGAUGAAGGUAGAUAGAAUCUGUAGGUAUUGGAGCGAUAUCAGAACUACCAUUAUAUGAAUAUUUAUUGUGUUGCUAAACGAUCAGACUUAUAGCUAUUAUUAAAAAACAAAACAUUGAAUGAUGAGUGACCUUAGUUAUGUGCAGAACGGGUAUAUAUAGCAGCAAGUAGAGGCAAUUUAGAAGCAUGUUCAAGAUCAACAGUAGCAAAAAUGUGCUUUUUUUUUUGUGCUUUGAAUAAACAUGUCAAGAUCUAGAUAUCUAGCCAAAACAUACAGAUUCUAUCUAUAUUCAUCAGACUGAUCAGUGCCUGUGCUGUGUAAGAUAACUUUUAUAUAUAUAAUUAUAUAUGCAAUUUAGUAAUUUUUCCUGUUCAGAAAAGACCCUGGAGAGACAAAACUUGAAAAGAAUCCAUAAAGCAAACUGGUAAUAGUACUUGUUUCUCGAUAUUAGAUAUUGGUUGAGUUUAAUUUCCUUUUUUAUGCUUAGCUGAGUAUUCUAAAAUAAACAUGCAAUAUUUAUGUCAUAUAAUCAAAAAACGAAAGCAAAGCCUGCUUCCUUGACCUCCAUUCUCCAACUGCCUAUCCCUUUUCCUCCUCAUAACAGCAUAUUCUUUCCCUCCCAUAUAUUUUCUAGGUCCCUUCUAAGCCAUGAUGACCCAGUUACUUUCCUCUAUAUUCUUUAUAGGGUUCACCAAGAAAUACCUAAUAGCACCUUACCCAAGAACCCUAUUAAAUAUGCAAAAAGCAAAAAUUCCAUGAGACAGAGAUUUAUGGCAAAAAAAGAGACUUUUUGUAAGUAAAUAGUAACAGCUGUGAACUUACUAUAAACUCUAUUAUAUAUGCAAACAGAGGUUCAAAGAGGCUAAAUAACUUGUCCACAGCAACUAAGUAGAAGAGUAGGGAUUCUACUUCAGAGGUUAACCUCUUAUAUGGGAAAACACUUGAUCUGUUUCUCUGAUCCUUCACUUUCACUAUCCAAUGGACUCCCCUUGGAAUUAGAGAGAAACUAUCGUGCCUAACAUGAUAACCUGGUAUGUUUCAGGGUUCUUUCAGGAUGUAGCAUCCCCUUAUGAUCUGCACUAGGAGAUUUAAACACAAUUCUACAAUUCCACCCAAUUCCACCUGAUUACUAAAGUGUUACUCAGGGUCAUGUUUGUGAGCAGGGCUACUUUCCAAGUCUUUAUCAUAACACAGAAUCUUGAAUUAUAUUUAAAAAAAAUACAGACUACAGUAAAGGAUCGAAUUCAAAAAUGAAGCACGUCGUAUAUCAGAUCAAGUCAACUUAUAUAUGAACAAAACUGUUUAUUUUCUUUCUUAUAUCAUAGGACCAUGCAUUUAUGAAAAUAGCCUAUUGACUUUUGAAACAUACAUAAUUUGCAUGCAUUAUACACAAACCUGCUUUAAGCAAACAGUUUGAAUGUUGACAAAGGUUUCUGUUGUCCUAAAGCACAUUUUGAAUUUCAGGUCAUCACAGAAUUUCACUGAAAUUCUUUGGUCUUGUCUCAAUUUCUAGAAGUUGUGUCUGGUGCCGAUGGAUGGGGGGUGGCAACAUAUGCAAACAACUGCCUUCUAUUCAUCAUUCUCAGGGAGACUCUUUCAGUCUGCUGCUGUUUCCUUAGCAGGUCUUCCCAGCACAAAGCCCAGGGAUGACCAAUGGCGGACUCUACGUCGGAAUCACAAUUUCCACCUUGGUGUUGCUUGCUGUUUCGAUUGUCAUAAUUAUUAAAAGUAAGUCAUUUCCAGGUUGUUCCCAAUGACUAGAGCAAGGGUUCUACAGACACUGUCUGCACUUAAGUGACUCCAUGGGGCAUGUGAUUGGAAUCACAUGACUUCCCUGAGUCCCCAAAUGCUCAUCUGUAAAACACACGUGGUAGUGCCUCUUCCUCAAGGGUUGUGCUGGGAAUGAUUUCUGGCAUAUGGUAAGUCCACGGCUGUUACUAUUUACUUAGAAAAUAUCUUUUUUUUUUUUUUUGCCAUAAAUCUCUGUAAAUCUCAUGGAGCUAACAUUUUAGUGGAAGUUUUGCUUCAUAUCAUUGUUUCUUAACUUUGUUCUUUGUUUUUAAAUUAUUGGUUCCCUGAAGAGAAAAAUUCAAUAUCAGUUCUCCAUAAAAGCAAUUAAAUACUAAGAAAUAAGAGUUGCCAGGUGUGGUGGUGUACGCCUGUAAUCCCAAUGGCUAUGGAGGCUGAAACAGAAGGAUUGAAAAUUUGAGGCCAGCCUCAGCAACCUAGCAAGGCCCGACGCAACUUAGUGAGACCCUAUCUCAAAAUAAAAUAAGUAAAUAAAAAGGGCUGGGGAUAUUGCUAAGUGGUUAAGCAUCCCUGGGUUAAAUCCCCAGUACCAAAAAAGAAGAAAGAAAGAAAGAAAAAAACAAAACAGAAAUAAGAAUGUGCUGCAUAGAUUUGAGAUUUGGAGGUGACAGGCCAUUGUAACACACACAGUGUCCUCUCUCCUCCCCUCAAGAUAUGUUUUUUUGUCCCCGUGGGGUGAUAUUGUUGAUGACACCAGAAUACUUAUUUAGUACAUGAAGCAUGGAGGGGGAACUAUUUGCAGAAUAGGAUUAGAACAAAGGUCUUCAAGAAGCAGCCACCCAGGGCUUCAUGCCCCUUUUGUGAGGUGUGUGUGUGUGUGUGUGUGUGUGUCUGCUGUGUUUCUCUCAAUGUAAACUGCCCCUCAUGAAAGAAUCUCAGUCAUCUAUUUUGUACAACAUUAUCCAUGAACUCAUUACCAAUCUACUCCAUGGGUCUGGGCAGAAAACUGAAAACUGAUUAUACUUGUUAAAUUUAAGGAAAUUUCUACCUGAUAAUUUAGAACUUGGUUAGCCAAAAUGAUUAUUUGGAAAUUGGGUAAAAUACCUUAAAUAUGUUCCCCUCUUUAACAAAAACAGUUACUUAUUCUCUCUUAAGGAGAUGGAUUACUGGGAGUAUAAAAUUUGAAAAAAGUCUCUGAUAAGAGGUGACCUCUUGGAUGGGAUCUUAUGUCCUAGGUAGCCUAGGACAAACCUGGUUUAUGCCUGUUUUCUAGUAGCUUAUUAAAAAAGUCACGGGCUUUUUCAGUUUUUUAAAUUAAAAAAUAAUUUUUUUUUUUUUUGGUACUGAGGACUGAACCCAGAGGUGCUUAAGCACUGAGCCACAUCCCCAGCCUUUUUCAUUUUUUAUUUUGAUAGAGGGUCUUGCUAAGUUGCUGAGGACCUCAUUAAGUUUCUGAGGCUGGCCUGGAACUUGUGGUCCCUCUGACUCAGUCUCCUGAGCCAGGUGUACACCAUCAUGCCUGGCUCAUUUUUUUAAAUGAAAGAUAAUUUAGUAAUUCCCAUUAUAGCAAGUCAGGAUAUGUGGGUGAACAUCCCAGACAUUACUGAAAAUGAGACACUGAGCAAUAAAGAGUGUGCCUGGGUCCUGUAGACUCGAGUGGGGACACAGGAAGGAAUUGUUGAAGUCACGGGGGAAGGGCUCAAGUCACAACAAAAUAAUAGACUUGAUUGCAAGAAGAUAUCAUGGACUCUUUUACUAAAAUGUUCAACCCAUCUUCCUUCCCUAUUUAGAGUAUUUCUUAUUCAGAAAGAAGAUGCAGCCACUAAGGUAAGCUUGAAAGGUUUGGGGUAGAUAUCUUUUGAUGUCCUUACUGGAGUGAAAAAUAAAGAGAAAUUCCUCUCCACUCUUCUCCUAAACUACCCAUUCAACACCUUGGAUCCUGAAAUUCUAGUUUAGUGACACCUCUGUUGUUAUCCAUACCUUGCAGUGACAUUUUUGGCUUUCUGUAUUUCCGUACAGUUGUGGCAGAACCUGUGCAGAAGGGGCACCUCAAUCCUACGCUCUUAGGUGAAAAGAAAUGAAUUGCUUGACAGAGCUGUAUAUUGAAGGAAUUGUAUUGAUUCACUCUUACACUUUAUUCAACCUUUUAUUUUAUUGAGCAUUGAUUGAGCACCUAUUAUAUUACAAGUUGAUGAACAAAACAGAGAAAAAUAAAAAAUAAAUAAACAAGGCCCUUUUCAUGCCUGCAGACAAACACCAAGGAUAACAGAGCAGGGAGAUGAACUUUUGAUUGAGCCCAAGGGAGCAGAUGAUUUGGAGGAGGAUAAUUCCUGGCUGAAGGGGCAAGAUGGGCAAAGGCUCUGACCACAGCUCCCCCCACAUGCAGCCUGCUCCACUCCUUUACCCCUGAGGGCACUGAAGUUUACUCUAUUUGUGAAGCUCUUUCUGUCUGUCCUGCCUGCUGCCCAGUUAAAGCUUAGAUCCCCUCUAGUGCAUCUGUGGCGGGCAGUCCCCUGCUCCCAGUGAAGCCAACUAGGCCUGCUUCAUUCCCUUCAGCAUGGCUCUGAGCAAGGACAUUCUUUGACUCAGUAUCCAUGCCUCUUGGGCUGCCCUCCAUUAUUCCUAGUUCUCCUUCAUCGGAGGCUUACACAGACUCACCGGUGUCUGAGUUAAUGACAUGGCAAUCCCUAGACCGUGCCUUGGACAGGGUCCAGCACAUUGCGAAGGACACGCUGGCUUUUAUUAUUUCAAUCAUGCCCUUCACCACCAUAAACCUAAGAGGUAGGCAGUAUUAUUAGCCUCAUUUUACAGAUUAGAGAAACAGGUUCAGAAAUAUGGAGGGACAUCCAAGGUCACACUACACAGUACAUAAAGGACUCAAUCUCAGGGACCCAGGCUCAUAAAUAGUUUUCACCAACUGCUUCAAAAAAGGAAAAGGAAAUGCUUCUUAUUGGUGAAAGGUCAUGGAACAUUGUAUCCUUUUAGCUAUUUGUUUUCUAUUCUUAAGAAUAUUCUACAGUUAUCUUUUUUUAAGAGGUUCACUUUUUGCAUUAAAUCAUAAAGAAAAAACAUUAUAUAAAAUGUAAAAUAUAAAAAAGUACAUAUUUUAAUGUGAGAUUUCCUCAUGACAUUUUCUUUUUGGUGUUUAUAUCACACUGACUCAUUUGAGCUUAUUGACACCUAAACUGUUUUCAUAGAUCUAUAACUAAGCCAUUUUAAGGACCAUAGAGAGGUUUUAUCUCAUUUUUUAAAAAUUAAUUGAAUUUUUUUGCAGGGUUGGGGAUGAAACCUAGGGUCUUGCACAUGCUAGGUGAGCCCUCUACCACUGAGCUAUACCCCACGCCUUCUAAUGUUGCCUUAAAUAUAUCAGUGGGGGCUUGUUCUUCAUCUGGGGAUGAAUGAAGAUUCAGGUUCCACAUUUUCAGUAGUAGAAACUGUCACUAUAUACAAAUUACAAAAUGCCAGCCAUAUCAAACCCCUCACAGGUGUUAAAUCUGUUUCUUCCCUGGUUUGUACCUCCUUGAUUCCUAUGAGACUCAAACAUCCAUCCACUGUGGGUACCCCACAUAACAGGAGGUACAGAGUAGACUCUCCAAGUAGUCCUACUAAAGCAUCUCCUGGCACUCAUGUGAAAGGCAGGCACAUGGAAUACCAGCAGUUCUCUCCAAAAAAUUACAGCCUUCCUCUCCAUUGUCUGCCCUUUUGUGCACUUGGUGUGUGUGAGCAUAUGCGUGAUAAAAGCAAUCAACCCCUGAUUUUGAAAUUUGAUCAUCAAUCACAGUAAGGUUUUCUGACACCAUGAUCUGGUACACAUUAGUAAAACAGUACUAUUCCAUUACAUCCAAGACUUUUCUAUAUCUUCCAGGGUAUAGAUCACUAAGCAGUUAAAUAGCCUUUUACAGAAGGUCACAAUCCACAGUUGUAAACACACCAGUCAACCAGUUCUUAGCCACAUUAAAAAAUUAUGCAUCUUUAUUUAGUAACUCAGUUCCGUGUCAGAUAUCUGUCUUUUUACCUUUCCCAUUAUUGUAUUCUAUUAUAUGAUACCCUGAAGGACACCAGUAUAUAUAUUUUUUAAAUAGUUCUUAGGUUGUUUAUAUACUCUCCUGUAGCUUAAUCUUCAGGGCAACACUUUCUCAUUUCCAGAAGGUACAAUUCGUUUUAUAGUUUUUGUGAACGGGGCUCUUAGAUUCUCAAAUAUCCAGUCUUGCUGGAUCAUAAAUACAAGUGCUGCUCCUUCCUUAGAAGUGAUCUUCUUUUUCUUUACUCAUGUUAUUCUUCAACACUUUCUGCAGCAUGGCUUCAUUGACUGGUCCUCAAAUUGGAGUCCUGCAAAGUGAAGCAAAUGCACGAGCCCGAGCAGAAGACAACGUGUACAUCAUUGAGGAUAAUCUUUAUGUCAUGGAAUAAGACCCAGGGGCACACUUGGGGUUUUAAGUCCAUGUCUGCAGAAGGUAGUGACCGGAUAUCACCAUGUCUGCCUCCUUUUAAACUCCAGGAUCACUUUUCUCCAUCAUUUCUCCUGGCAUUCCAACAAGUCAGCCACAUCAGAUAGAGUGACUCUCUAGCUCAAAGCUCUGUACAAACUCAUUAACAGCAUUCUAAUUUUUAUACUAAAACUAGCUCAGUUUUUCCAGGCAUUGUAGAACAUUCUUUCACCCAUGAACAGUUUAGAAUUCUGUAUUUUCUUUAGAAACCCACCCCCCCCAAUCAUUCUUAUAUCCAUUAAAAAAUUGAUUAGUGAUACAGGAAGGGAAAUUUGUCCAAAACUGUCAGGAAAAAAAAAAAAAGAGAGGAACAGUUUUUAAGAAUAAAAAAAAAAAAUCAACUGAAGACUUCCUUUGGAAGCCUUUCAUGAUUACCUCUUAUUGUUAUAUUGUAACUCCAAAUGUUACCUUUCUUAUGUUUCCUAAGUUCAAUUCAUAAGGGACUGCAGGUUUUUAUUUCCCCCAUGGGGACAUAGAAAUGGGUGUAAUUUCACUACCUUAGGAAUAUAUGUUUUCUCCUGGCUCUGGAAAUGUUAUGAAUGAAUGGACUGAUCUGUGGAUCAGGAUGGAUAUUUUAGCCACGAAGACCUGCAGUAGGAAGUGUGGACCAAGUAGACUCCAGGGGAAGAAAACUAUUUACCUUGGGGUUCCGUACAUUUAUGCUACUUCUACUUGCACUUGUGCCAUGGUGCUAGGCAAAUUUUUUCCCUCCCUCCUUCCCUCUCUUCUUUCCUUCCUUCCUUCCUUCCUUCCUUCCUUCCUUCCUUCCUUCUUUUAUUUCUGGUAUUCGAAUUGAACCCUGGGGUGCUUUGUCACUGAGCCACACCCCUAGCUAUUUUUAUUUUAUUUUUUUACUUUGAGACAGGGUCUUGCUGAAUUGCUCAGGGCCUGUCUAAGUUGUUGGGGUUGGUUUUGAACUUGUGAUCCUCCUGCCUCAGCCUCCUCAGUCACUGGGAUUAUUGGCCUGUGCCACUGCUCCCAGCUGAUGCUAGUCAUUUUUGUAGACAACCAACAGGCUCUCUGAACUAAUUUUCAGAAUGAGGAGGGUCAGAAAUGAAGGGGAAAAAUGAGGGAGUAGGAAAAAGGACUGUCUGCCUUCUCUACUGCAAGUCUAAUAAUGCUUAAAAUUAUCAUUAGUGUCUUCUAAAAUUCUAUAUUUCUAAUUGAUUUCCAGACCACUUUCAUAUUUAAAGUUAUUUCAGAAAGCUGAAAGUUGUAGGGUCUUUUUCUUCUCUAAUUAAUUCCAAGGUCUUUUUUCUUUUUCUGGUAGUUCCAUGACACUUUGGUUUUGCCAAGAGUUAAAGAGAGGUGUAUUAUAAGGAAUCUUCAGUCUUCAGUCACUCAUGUGAUUAUUUAGAAAUUUAAAUGUGCAAGAGCUGGUAUUGUCAGAAAAAAAUUUCCAUAUGAACACUUAAUAGGGUUGGGUAGUAAUUUCAAUUUCAAUUUGAGUGAACCAUGAAAUCAUGGCAUGGGUUCAGAGCUACUCAUGCCAUAGUGGUCUGGGAGCGUGCUGUCAAAGACCACAUUUUCACACUGUUCUGCAGAGUUCUAGGAAAUCACGAGGUCUUCUGAGUGAGGGUUCUGUGGGCAAAUGAGAUCUGUAUACAUUCUAUUCUGGGUUUGCCAGAUGGAGUCAGCCUGGUAAAGUCUAAAAAUGUAUUAUGUUCCAACUAGAGUGUAUUCUUUCUUGCCUCAGAUUCUUUUUCUUGAAUCUGAGGCAACAUGCAUUAAUUUGUGGCUUUGAAAUAAAAAUCUAGAUUUGCAGUAUCAUUGGGAAAGCUUGUCAAGUAGACAGUACUCUUUUGGUUUUGUUUAUUUUGUUUUGUUUGCACAUGCUGGGGAUGGAACCCAGGUCCUCCAGUCUGGGCUGCAUGCUUAAGUGGUCCAGGGGUCCCUUAGCUGGGGCUCUACCCUCAGGGUGCUGCUCUCUGGCCCACUCACUUUUGAUUCUUGCCUGUUUUCUGUAGGGCUUUGAGUUUAUGAUGUCUGCUCUAGUCUCCACAUUGUUCCUGGAGAUUUAUUAUCCACGCUAAAAGAUCUGGGAAUCUAGUGUACUGUUUAAUCUUGCAUUUCCAAAACUUGUUUGAACACACAAGCUCAGUAUCUAGUAGAAUUGUGUGAAACAAAUUACAUGGGAAGUGAGUGGAAGCCCAUCAGUACACAGGAUUAAGAAUAAGACUUGAUUUUUAAUCUUUUUAUCAGUGACACUAGAUGACAUUAGGAUAACUUGUUCUUUAUGCUCAGCUUUUUCACCUAUUAGGUAUAAUCUUCUCCAUACCUAACUUGGUGUUUAGUGGUAAUUCUAAUGUAAUGUUACUUGUAAGAAAUCUUUGAAGCUGGGUGUGGUUGUGCAUGCCUGUAAUCCCAGCAUCUUGGGAGGCUGAGGCAGGAGGACCUUGAGUUCAAAGCUAGCCUCAGCAAUUUAUCGAGGACUUAAGCAACUCAGUGAGACCCUGUUUCUAAUAAAAUAUUAAAAAAAAAGGGUUGGGAAUAUAGCUCAGUGGGUUAACUGCCCCUAGGUUCAAUUCCCAGUAGCAAAAACGGGGGUGGGGAGAAGUCUUUGAAAAGGCAAAAACACUAAAGAAUGCAUAAUUUUCUCCUAGUAGAUUUUGUAGUAAUAGCAGGGCUAGCAUGCAUGCUUGGUAAUUAUAAUAUAUUACAUUCAUAAAUCUCUUGUUCUAUGAUAUCUCUUUAAAAAACAAUGUUUCUUUUUGAAACAGUUAAUGUUGAAUAGUUUAAUUAUUACCUUAUACUACAGAAAAAAAUUGUCAAUAACUGGGAUGGAGGAUGGUAACAAAGAAGAAAGGGGAGAGAUUUCAUUAUUAUGACUUUUUUUCUGUAAAUAUAUCAACCUUAUAGAUCAUCUUGAAUUUUGUUUUUAUCCUUCAAGAUACAAUUGAGGUUCCAUUACCUAUAAUCUGUCCUGAAGGAAGAGGAUGUGGCUAUGAUUAAGACUGUGUAUUCAAACUUAGGAACAUUUGCAUAUCUUUAAGAAAUAGCAUAAACGUUCAUUCACUGAUAGCUGUAAAGAUAGGGUGAUUCUGUGAGCGCAUGAAAGCAAUGAAAGCAGGGGACUCCUCGUGGUUGUAUGUGCAUUUGUUAAUAAAUAAGAUUUGUUUGCUCUUUUUGAAAA
rnacentral:lncRNA from 1 species